GUAAAGGCCUUUUUUAAGGCCAAAUACUAGUCAAUAGGAACAGGAUU
rfam:Stegodyphus mimosarum contig58860, whole genome shotgun sequence.